rnacentral:lncRNA from 1 species
UGAGAACAAUGAGACGGGUGGGUGCGUGCACGUGAUGAGUCCAUUUUACUUUUUCAGUCUUUGAACGAAAACAACGACUCCCGGUCGGAAUAUUAUCGCUAUUUUACGAGAAAAUCGAUUUUUUUUAAAUUUUAAACAGCGUUUGACAUGCUUCGAAGUACGGUAAUGGAAUAUUUCGAAAUGUUUUGUCACGAUACGCGUCUGCGCGUCACCCUUCGUUACCCUUCGGAUAGUGUCUUGAACGCACAAACAAAACGCCGCUAUUUGGAUAUAACUAUGGAUUAUUUGGAACCAAACCAACAUUUGCUGUUGAAGUAGAAGUCCUGGGAGUGCAUUCUGACGAAGAACAGCAAAGUGAUCAUUGGCACUUUCUGGUGACUUUCUGUGGACAACAUCUGCCGAGACACCGAUCUCAGAAUAGAGGACCUACCAGCUGUCAUGAACAUCCAGGAGCUAUGGCGCGCCAUCAUGUGGCAUAUUGAAACACCAUAAAUGGAAUCCUGUGACUAGUGAUGUCCGGAGGCAACAACAACCUCCCUUCUUGACCCCAUCCCUUCCUCCCAUCUCCAGACCAUCUCUGGCGACCUUCUCCCAUUCCACACCUCCCUCAGCAACUCAACCAAUGGCUGUGUCUUCUCUGACUUCAAGAUGACCAGAGUCGCUCCCCUCCUCAAGAAACCAACUCUCGAUCCCUUUGACAGGUAUGUGCCACAAUGUCGGCUCCCACUGCUGGGAGUACCCGAGCUGGGCACCGCGACGCUGAUGGCACCAAUUAGGGGAGAGUGCCAACCA